AAAUUAUUCUCUGUGGUUGAAAUCAGGUCUCCACAGACUGUACGAUAUCCAGACACGGCAAACAUAACUAAAUAUUUUACACAACAUGAACAUUAACACGCACACGCGAACGAUUCAUUAUCACUACACUUUUUUGAUAUAUCUUUUUAAAAUGAUGGGUUAAACACUUCACAAAUUCAUCCUUAUCUAUUAAUCAUAAAAUGGUAUUCGCGUGAAAGAGAUAAAAACAAAUACAAAAUCGCAAUUAUAUUACACUCCCCUCUAUCCCGUGUCGUAUUCCCCAAUAUUGAAAGUCAUGGCCUGCCUUUUGCAUCACUUUCUCUCUUAUGAUCUUUCUCCAUCUGUUUCUGUCUAUGGCGGCAGUGGUGCGUAAUUGGUCAGAACAAUGUAUUUGACUGCGUCCGCUUCCAGGGCUUUUCUCGUUUACUUUGCUUUUCACACUUACUUCACUCCAUGAAAUCUUGAACACUCGCUAAUCAUCAUUAUAAGGUUUUCUUCGUCCCAUGUCAAUUCUUCUACAAUCUUUGUGUCAAAUUAAAUUAUGAUUUCCAAUAAAUUUCUUAAAUACGUUCCUCUUUUUCCCCCUCUAUAUCUCUCUCUUUCCAUACAUAAACAUGACAGUGGUCAAAAUUCAGUUCUAAUGCAAUAACUCAGUCUAUUACGAAUUUCAUUUAGCUUCCGCAAUAAAUUAUAUCAUUAUUUUUUUGACUAGAAAAGAAAAUACUUUUGUGUUCAUUACAGGAUCUUUCUUCUUUUUAUUCUUCAUGUAUCACAACACACGUAAAAACUUGAAGCACAACUAACUAAAAACGCACACAAUGUAUCGCAAGAUUUGUAGAGCCCUUAAUGACAAGUGUAAAUGCGUCUCCGUCAUUUUCUCGUAUCUAAGAAAUAUUCAUACAAAAAGACACUACCAACAUAAGGAAAUAAAACGUGAAAACUUCAACGCCAUCUUGUUGUUAUCUAUGAUCCGCUCCUUACAUUGUAUGUCUAUGCUCCUUACACUAUUGCGUAGAUAUUAAAACAUUAAUUUGACAUUGUAUUGAAUUCAGUGUAUCCCUUUCAUUUUAAGAACUAAUAAAAGAGACGUGUUUAUUGAAUCCCGUUUUGAUUAUGCACAUGGUGAUUUUACCGCUAGAGAAUUACGUCCACCAGCACACAUGCAAAACAAAGUUCGAAAUGGCUAUAAUAGUUUGAUGUGUUAACUUAGUUUGUAAGUUUAAUAUUAAUUUCAGACUUUAAAUAACGUUUUGCUUUUAUAAAGCCGUGUGAUUAAUUGUAAAUAUGAAUCUAUGUACAGUGUCCUGAGUGUUUGAUCUUGGUUCCGAAUUUAAAAUAAAGUUUGCAAGAACCUACAAAAAGACCUUGACGUGAACUUAAAACUAAAUACAUGAAAAUUAUUGUAAAAGCGGAUUAAAAGUUUAAGAUGAUUACGGAACAGAAAAUGGUUAUAAAAGCAAUACAUCCAAAGUUAAACAAUAAGUGCGAGAACUUGAUUGAUUUAUGCCUAGGCCGCGCCUUUUUAAUUGACAUAGUCAAAUCAAUGAAAUCUAUCAUCCCAUCGGAGUGUACUUAGCCUGACUCAAAGAAACUACACCUGGUCUAACUACUUUCCAUGACUUCUUCACUACUUCAGAACAGCAAAAGUUUCCAGCUUCAAAUACCUUGUUGCAGCUCAACUCUGCAUCCUGCAAUAUUUAAUCUGAGCAAAACAUUGAGAUCCUGAUUUGUGUUAACAACAAUGAGCUGACAACAUCCUCUCCCAACACAUUAACAACUUUGAGACAGCAACGCCUCUCCCACCCAUACAAGAGUCAAAUAUGCAAACCUAUAUGGAAAAACAAAUAAAAAGAGCCUGCCAAUCCUUAGUUUAUGAAUCAUCAUUAAUAUCCAAUCGAGUUUCAAAUGAGGUAAAAUACUACAAAACUGCUGAUGCAGAGUAACAAGAUUACAGGCUGGAAAAAAUGUACCAAUCCAUUGUGAAUAAAAACACCUACAGAAGACUAAGAAGGUAUAGGCUGCCCUUGUUCCAUCAAACCUGUUUGGAAGUUGUAGUCACGUGACUAGUUAUGCUUUAAGUACCGCUACGAAUCAAUUGUAAAACCUGCACUAUCCUGUGACUAAAAAAACAGAGAAUGAAGAUCCUAGUACUUCAAGUCUUCGCUUACAUGUUGCUAUGGGAUUCUAGACUCUGUUUUUAAGCUUUAAAUACAUAAGAGUAUGUAUCAACCUGCAAUUAUGAAGCAAAUUGUGACACUGACAGUAAGACACAGAAAAUGAUGGCCACGCUUGCCCCUUCAAAACCUGUUUGAAAACAAAUGUACUUACAUGAUUCAUCAAGCUUUCCUUCUACUAGCUGCUUGUAAAGUCUGCACUUCAUUUGACUGAAAAACUUAGUAAAUGACUACAGAUUCCUGACAACAAGCCCCUGCGAUUGGUUCUACACGUUUCCUGAACAAAAUCCUUUUGAAAUGAAAUCCUAUUAAGACAGACAAACACCUUUUGACCUAGAAUCUGUGAAGAGACGGAGUAGUCGCCGCGACGGAAAUGAAGAUAAUUAGAAUUCAUUAUUUCUAGAAGAGAAAUUAGCAACACAAAUACUAUUUAUGAUCCCAAUAUGUCAAAUGAAAGCUGUAACUCUGAGCGUCCUACACACUUGUCAAGAUGACUUGAGUAAACUAGGAAAGGUAAAACUGAAAUGAAAUGAGCCUAUAAAGAACACAGAAGAUAGCAUGGCAUGGCGCGAGUUCAUGCAGACACCCUGAAUCCUAGAAGUGUCCUGGGACCAACAUCAUGUACUAUGUUGUUAAGCAAAAAGAAAGUCUGCAAUCUCUCCUGUUCUCUAGUCUAAUCAACCUGAGGUCUGCUGUUCCGAUACCACAACAAAUCAUCAAACUACAAGCUGUUUAAGAAGAUUUCACUAAUUAUGCUAUGCAUUUGACUCCAUGUGUAAUAUACAUGUAAUAUGUGACAAAAAUGUGUUACUUGGUCAAUAAUAAAGGAAAUAUUCCGCUUUAUUUGAA